AGAGAAGGUCAACAACCUCACAAAAGCAAAUGCUAAACUUUUGGCAAGAAAUAAGCGGCUGCAUUUGGCCCUUGAGAAUCUGAGAAACUUGCCUGAUUUACUGGAUGUGGUAAAAAAGUUAAAAGCUGCACCAUGCUCUUCACAGCAUGCCUCUCCUGCACAUGCGUCCACUUCAUCUUCUGCUGCUUGUUCACCAGCUCAUUCCGAAGACACAAGUGGCGAGGACAUGGUAACUUUGUGGCCAGGGGUGGCCAUAACAGUUUGGCAAAAGAGAUUACUAAAUGCCAAAAAAACAAAUGUUAAAGAAUACACAAACACCCUGCUGCGGAUGAUUCACAC